rnacentral:rRNA from 1 species
GACAGAGGGGGCAAGCGUUGCUCGGAAUCACUGGGCGUAAAGGGCGCGUAGGCGGGAUGGCAAGUCAGUCGUGAAAUCUCUCGGCUCAACCGAGAAACGUCGGCUGAUACUGCCGUUCUUGAGGGAUGCAGAGGAGACUGGAAUUCCCGGUGUAGCGGUGGAAUGUGUAGAGAUCGGGAGGAACACCGGUGGCGAAGGCGGGUCUCUGGGCAUUUCCUGACGCUGAGGCGCGAAAGCGUGGGGAGCAAACGGG